AGACAAGCCCUCUUUGGCUCCUUCUCUAUUUUUCAGGCAAGCCCUCUGCCCUCUACGACUUGAGAAUACAAGAAAAGAUAGUCUUUUCAAGUUGCCCCCUGACGUUCCAAUGUUUUCACGUUGAUCCUUUCUUCUUUAAAAAUUUGCAAUCUAGUUACCCAUAUUUUCUGACGCACUGUGAAUCCUGUGAUGCAACCAUGGUGGGCAUCAAAAGACAAGAACAGCCAUAGCUCUCAUCCGAAGAGGAUUUAGGAUGGUUAUUUGAACUAAAAUAUCAGUCACAAAAAUAGUAAUUUCUUGAUUAUCAAUUUCUUCAUCCAAAAAAAAUAUUUUUUACUAAUGAAAUAUAUUUUCUUUUUCUGUUCUUUUUCUAAUAUUUGAAGUUUGAAUUCAGGAUUGUUUUGCUUCUCAGGAUUUCAGCUACUCAUACGUGUUCUUGUUGCGACUUCGGCCUCUUCUCCAACUCCACUCGCCAGUUUCCGGCACCGCUUCAAAUGUCUAAUAGAAAAUAU
rnacentral:lncRNA from 1 species